UACGAAGGGGGCUAGCGUUGCUCGGAAUCACUGGGCGUAAAGCGCACGUAGGCGGCUUGUUAAGUCAGGGGUGAAAUCCUGGAGCUCAACUCCAGAACUGCCUUUGAUACUGGGAAGCUUCGAGUCCGGAAGAGGUGAGUGGAACUGCGAGUGUAGAGGUGAAAUUCGUAGAUAUUCGCAAGAACACCAGUGGCGAAGGCGGCUAUCUGGACAGAGUCUGACGCUGAGGCGCGAAAGCUAGGGGAGCAAACAGG
rnacentral:rRNA from 1 species